CCUACGGGGGGCAGCAGUGAGGAAUAUUGGUCAAUGGACGCGAGCCUGAACCAGCCAAGUAGCGUGAAGGAAGACUGCCCUACGGGUUGUAAACUUCUUUUAUACAGGAGUAAAGUGAGGCACGCGUGCCUUUCUGAAAGUAUUUUAUGAAUAAGGAUCGGCUAACUCCGUGCCAGCAGCCGCGGUAAUACGGAGGAUCCGAGCGUUAUCCGGAUUUAUUGGGUUUAAAGGGUGCGUAGGCGGUUGGUUAAGUCAGUUGUGAAAGUUUGCGGCUCAACUGUAAAAUUGCAAUUGAUACUGUCAGUCUAGAGUACAGUUGAGGUAGGCGGAAUGCAUGGUGUAGCGGUGAAAUGCUUAGAUAUCACGAAGAACUCCGAUUGCGAAGGCAGCUUACUAAGCUGCUACUGACGUUGAUGCACGAAAGUGUGGGUAGCAAACAGGAUUAGAUACCCCAGUAGUC
rnacentral:rRNA from 1 species